CUCACCCAAGGGAUCUAUUUAUACUAUGAGCUACUAGGGUUUCACCUUUAACCCUAAUUGAAUAACUUAGGCCCUAAGCAAUCCAAGAUCCUCCUAGAUAUUAGGCUUGGACGAUUUUAAAGUCUCCUAACCCUAAAAUCCGUCCACCCUUAUAUCCAUAAGGAUACAUAGCCCAAAACACAACUAUCACACAUUUGACAGUUUAUGCCCCUUUAUUCAAUUAACCUCUUUAAAUCACCAAAUUAAUUCUCAAUUAAUAUAUGACUUAUAUUAAUCAAAUAACAUUAUUAUUCCUUUAAUAUAUUAUUCUCAUAAUAUAUUAACAAUAAUAUCUCUUCUCUCUUAACAAAUCAUCCUGUCAAGUUGCUCUGGUGAAGGCAACCCAAAAAGACCAUGCACAACCGGGUCAAAUACUUACCAAAUAUAGUUAUAGCCUUAGACACUAGUCCAACAAGGUGGCCUAAUAGUGGGUUAGAUCUGGUCCUUCGACAAGCUUUGAUGCUAUGCAUGGAGUUUACAUCAUAUUUUCCCCAUUUGACCCAUUUUAGGUUCAAGACAUGCAUUGGACAUGCAUAUCUAUAAGGCACCAAGCUUUGGGACGUUUUUGAGGCUUGAAUCUCUUCUGGAAAAGUUGGGUUCCAGAUCUCAAGGAUUUUGUGAUUAAUGGUUAAGUCUUUGAGUUUUCAAGCCUUAUGGAAGGGUUCUUGAGCAUUUGGAGUAUCCCCGAAGGAUAAAGUUGGAAACUUUAUCCUUUUAGACACAUUUGGAGUUUAGAUCUGAGCCUUAGAGUCCCUAGAAUUGAAGAAUCAGUUGUGUUUGUUAAGCUGGGGAAAACUAGGCGAGUUGGCUAGGGUUUUCCCUGACUUUCUGAGUACUAUAGAGCUCGACGAGUUGGGUUAACAUGGACUGUUAACCUUGACCAUUGACUUUGAAUUUGACCAUGACUGAACAAGUUGGACUUUGGAGGGCAUUUUGGGUAUUUUGGGAUUUUGAUGGGUUGGUCAUGAUGGUUGUAGGCAUUGAGUCGGGGGCUGAGAUUCGGAGCCAGGCUUUAUCAGUUCUGCACUACUUGUGAGAGGCGGUACUGCUUUGUGCUGAUGGCCAACAGACCCAUGGCGGCCCGGAUAGGCUGAAGACCUGCAAGGUGGACCAGUCAGACCGAAGGCCCGGAGAACGGUCCAGAAAGGCUGAAGGCCCGGCAUGGCGGGCCAGACAUGCUGAAGGUUCUGUAUACAUGUUGGUAUCUCAGAUGAUCGCGGGAAGGUAAAGGCAUGAUCGUGCACCUCCUCGUGUUUUGUGUUAUGAUUUUUGAUGUGAAACUUAUUUUGAAAACAAUUUGUAAUGAAUGAUGAUUUUGUGGUUAUUAAAAAAUUAAAAUUUUCAAGAAUUUUUCGAAUGUUACAUACAAAAAGCCCAAGAUCAUUGUGAUUUUACACAAUGAACACAUUAAACCCCCUGCUGAACCCUUUUAUUCAAAAUGAGUCCUUUCCCACAAAACUUUGGUGUAUUUUA